rnacentral:rRNA from 1 species
CCUACGGGUGGCAGCAGUGAGGAAUAUUGGUCAAUGGGCGAGAGCCUGAACCAGCCAAGCCGCGUGAGGGAAGACGGUCCUAUGGAUUGUCAACCGCUUUUGCCGGGGAGCAAAAAGCGGUACGUGUAUCCCAUCGAGAGUACCCGAAGAAAAAGAAUCGGCUAACUCCGUGCCAGCAGCCGCGGUAAUACGGAGGAUGCAAGCGUUAUCCGGAUUUAUUGGGUUUAAAGGGUGCGAAGGCGGCUAGUUAAGUCAGAGGUAAAAUUUCGGUGCUAAACCCCGACGAGCCGUUGAAACUGGUUGUCUAGAGUGAGUGAGAAGUAUGCGGAAUGCGUGGUGUAGCGGUGAAAUGCAUAGAUAUCACGCAGAACACCGAUUGCGAAGGCAGCAUACCGGCGCUCAACUGACGCUCAUGCACGAAAGUGUGGGUAUCGAACAGGAUUAGAUACCCUUGUAGUC